UGACCUGCGGAGGGAUCAUUAC
rnacentral:rRNA from 3 species